rnacentral:rRNA from 1 species
CCUACGGGUGGCAGCAGUGAGGAAUAUUGGUCAAUGGCCGUAAGCCUGAACCAGCCAAGCCGCGUGAGGGAUGAAGGUGCUAAGGGUCGCAGACCUCUUUUGUAGGGGAAUAAAGGGCGGGACGUGUCCCGUUUUGUAUGUACCUUGAGAAUAAGCAUCGGCUAACUCCGUGCCAGCAGCCGCGGUAAUACGGAGGAUCCGAGCGUUAUCCGGAUUUAUUGGGUUUAAAGGGUGCGGAGGCGGCCGUUUAAGUCAGCGGUGAAAGUCUGGGGGUCAACCAUCGAAGUGCCGUUGAAACUGGGGGCCUUGAGUGUGUUGGAGGCAUGCGGAAUGCGCGGUGUAGCGGUGAAAUGCAUAGAUAUCGCGCAGAACCCCGAUUGCGAAGGCAGCGUGCCGAGCCAUGACUGACGCUGAGGCACGAAAGCGUGGGGAUCAAACAGGAUUAGAUACCCGAGUAGUC